GUUGGGUAGGGGAGCGUUCUGUAAGCCUGUGAAGGUGUGUCGUGAGGCAUGCUGGAGGUAUCAGAAGUGCGAAUGCUGACAUAAGUAACGAUAAAGCGGGUGAAAAGCCCGCUCGCCGGAAGACCAAGGGUUCCUGUCCAACGUUAAUCGGGGCAGGGUGAGUCGACCCCUAAGGCGAGGCCGAAAGGCGUAGUCGAUGGGAAACGGGUUAAUAUUCCCGUACUUGGUGUUACUGCGAAGGGGGGACGGAGAAGGCUAUGUUGGCCGGGCGACGGUUGUCCCGGUUUAAGCGUGUAGGUGUGUGUUCCAGGUAAAUCCGGUUCACUUUAACACUGAGGCGUGACGACGAGGCACUACGGUGCUGAAGCAACAAAUGCCCUGCUUCCAGGAAAAGCCUCUAAGCAUCAGGUAACAUCAAAUCGUACCCCAAACCGACACAGGUGGUCAGGUAGAGAAUACCAAGGCGCUUGAGAGAACUCGGGUGAAGGAACUAGGCAAAAUGGUGCCGUAACUUCGGGAGAAGGCACGCUGACACGUAGGUGAAGUGAUUUACUCAUGGAGCUGAAGUCAGUCGAAGAUACCAGCUGGCUGCAACUGUUUAUUAAAAACACAGCACUGUGCAAACACGAAAGUGGACGUAUACGGUGUGACGCCUGCCCGGUGCCGGAAGGUUAAUUGAUGGGGUCAGCGCAAGCGAAGCUCCUGAUCGAAGCCCCGGUAAACGGCGGCCGUAACUAUAACGGUCCUAAGGUAGCGAAAUUCCUUGUCGGGUAAGUUCCGACCUGCACGAAUGGCGUAAUGAUGGCCAGGCUGUCUCCACCCGAGACUCAGUGAAAUUGAACUCGCUGUGAAGAUGCAGUGUACCCGCGGCAAGACGGAAAGACCCCGUGAACCUUUACUAUAGCUUGACACUGAACAUUGAGCCUUGAUGUGUAGGAUAGGUGGGAGGCUUUGAAGCGUGGACGCCAGUCUGCAUGGAGCCGACCUUGAAAUACCACCCUUUAAUGUUUGAUGUUCUAACGUGGACCCGUGAUCCGGGUUGCGGACAGUGUCUGGUGGGUAGUUUGACUGGGGCGGUCUCCUCCUAAAGAGUAACGGAGGAGCACGAAGGUUGGCUAAUCCUGGUCGGACAUCAGGAGGUUAGUGCAAUGGCAUAAGCCAGCUUGACUGCGAGCGUGACGGCGCGAGCAGGUGCGAAAGCAGGUCAUAGUGAUCCGGUGGUUCUGAAUGGAAGGGCCAUCGCUCAACGGAUAAAAGGUACUCCGGGGAUAACAGGCUGAUACCGCCCAAGAGUUCAUAUCGACGGCGGUGUUUGGCACCUCGAUGUCGGCUCAUCACAUCCUGGGGCUGAAGUAGGUCCCAAGGGUAUGGCUGUUCGCCAUUUAAAGUGGUACGCGAGCUGGGUUUAGAACGUCGUGAGACAGUUCGGUCCCUAUCUGCCGUGGGCGCUGGAGAACUGAGGGGGGCUGCUCCUAGUACGAGAGGACCGGAGUGGACGCAUCACUGGUGUUCGGGUUGUCAUGCCAAUGGCACUGCCCGGUAGCUAAAUGCGGAAGAGAUAAGUGCUGAAAGCAUCUAAGCACGAAACUUGCCCCGAGAUGAGUUCUCCCUGAGACUUAGAGUCUCCUGAAGGAACGUUGAAGACGACGACGUUGAUAGGCCGGGUGUGUAAGCGCAGCGAUGCGUUGAGCUAACCGGUACUAAUGAACCGUGAGGCUUAACCUUACAACGCCGAAG
rnacentral:rRNA from 2 species